GAACGCUAGCGGCAGGCUUAACACAUGCAAGUCGAGGGGCAGCGGGGAGGAAGCUUGCUUUCUCCGCCGGCGACCGGCGCACGGGUGAGUAACACGUAUGCAACCUGCCCCUGUCAGGGGGACAACCCGCCGAAAGGCGGGCUAAACCCGCGUACAUGCCACCGGGGCAUCCCGGAGGCAGGAAAGGCUUCGGCCGGACAGGGAUGGGCAUGCGGCGCAUUAGGCAGUAGGCGGGGUAACGGCCCACCUAACCGACGAUGCGUAGGGGUUCUGAGAGGAAGGUCCCCCACACUGGUACUGAGACACGGACCAGACUCCUACGGGAGGCAGCAGUGAGGAAUAUUGGUCAAUGGUCGGGAGACUGAACCAGCCAAGCCGCGUGAGGGAGGAAGGUACAGAGUAUCGUAAACCUCUUUUGUCAGGGAACAAAGGCGGGGACGUGUCCCCGGAUGAGUGUACCUGAAGAAAAAGCAUCGGCUAACUCCGUGCCAGCAGCCGCGGUAAUACGGAGGAUGCGAGCGUUAUCCGGAUUUAUUGGGUUUAAAGGGUGCGCAGGCGGUCUGUUAAGUCAGCGGUCAAAGCCCGGGGCUCAACCCCGGCCCGCCGUUGAAACUGGCAGUCUCGAGUUGGAGAGAAGUAUGCGGAAUGCGCGGUGUAGCGGUGAAAUGCAUAGAUAUCGCGCAGAACUCCGAUUGCGAAGGCAGCAUGCCGGCUCCACACUGACGCUGAGGCACGAAAGCGUGGGUAUCGAACAGGAUUAGAUACCCUGGUAGUCCACGCAGUAAACGAUGAAUGCUGGCUGUCCGGGGGGAUUGACCCCUGGGUGGCGAAGCGAAAGCGAUAAGCAUUCCACCUGGGGAGUACGCCGGCAACGGUGAAACUCAAAGGAAUUGACGGGGGCCCGCACAAGCGGAGGAACAUGUGGUUUAAUUCGAUGAUACGCGAGGAACCUUACCCGGGCUCAAACGGGGAGUGACUCAGGCAGAGACGCCUGUUUCCCACGGGACACUCCCCGAGGUGCUGCAUGGUUGUCGUCAGCUCGUGCCGUGAGGUGUCGGCUUAAGUGCCAUAACGAGCGCAACCCCCGCGUGCAGUUGCUAACAGAUAACGCUGAGGACUCUGCACGGACUGCCGGCGCAAGCCGCGAGGAAGGCGGGGAUGACGUCAAAUCAGCACGGCCCUUACGUCCGGGGCGACACACGUGUUACAAUGGGUGGUACAGCGGGAAGCCAGGCGGCGACGCCGAGCGGAACCCGAAAUCCACUCUCAGUUCGGAUCGGAGUCUGCAACCCGACUCCGUGAAGCUGGAUUCGCUAGUAAUCGCGCAUCAGCCAUGGCGCGGUGAAUACGUUCCCGGGCCUUGUACACACCGCCCGUCAAGCCAUGGGAGCCGAGGGCGCUUGAAGUGCGUCGCCGCGAGGCGCGCCCUAGAGCGAAAUCGGUGACUGGG
rnacentral:rRNA from 1 species